UACGAAGGGGGCUAGCGUUGUUCGGAUUCACUGGGCGUAAAGGGUGCGUAGGCGGUCGGGUAAGUCUGAUGUGAAAUCUCACAGCUUAACUGUGAAACUGCAUUGGAUACUAUUCGGCUUGAGAGUUGGAGGGGGGACUGGAAUUCUUGGUGUAGCAGUGAAAUGCGUAGAUAUCAAGAGGAACACCAGUGGCGAAGGCGAGUCCCUGGACAACUUCUGACGCUGAGGCACGAAAGCUAGGGGAGCAAACAGG
rnacentral:rRNA from 1 species